AUACUGUCUUCAACAGUGGUUGCACCAUUUUACAUUCUCACCAGUAACGUACAAGGGUUCUAAUUUCUCCACAUCCACGUCAAUGCUUAUUUUCCUUCUUUGAUAAGUGGCCAUUGUAAUGGGCAUGAAGUGAUACUGAUUAAUGAUGUUGAGAAUCUUUUGAUAUGUUAUUGGCAUUUUGUACAUCUUUGUUUAGGAAAUGUCUCUUCAUGUCCUUUGCCCAUUUUUUAAUUAGGUUUGUUUUUUGGUUGCUGAGUUGUAGACCUUUAUUCUGGACACUAGACCCUUAUUAGCUAUAUGAUUUGCAAAUAUUUUCUUUGGUUCUGUAGGUUGCCUUUUCAUUUUGUGGAUACUGUCCUUUGAUUAAAAAGUUUUUAAUUUUGAUGAAGUUAACUAUUUUUUUCUCUUCUUGCCUGUGCUUCUGGUGUCAUAUCCAAGAAAUCAUUGCCAAAUCCAAUGUCAUGAAGCUUUUCCUCUAUGUUUUCCUCAAGUUUUAUGCUAAGUAAACCUAAAGGAAAGGCUGAAGAAUCAACUAUAAAUAGUAAAAGUUAGAGGAAGACUUGACAAGCACAUUCAAUCAAUAUACAAAAUAAAGAAUGUAGAGAAAUUUAUUGCCAUUUCCAAGUAUAACUCUGAUGAGUCAGACAAAAAAACCCAUUAAGUUGACAUUAAAAUAUGUUAUUUGACCAGA